rnacentral:pre_miRNA from 1 species
GACUCGGUCAAGGCACUGAGUCAAUGAGUCACUGGUCGAACCAGUGAGUCAUUGGGCGGAUUGCUUGACUCGGUU